UAAAAUUAAAGUUUAUCUAGGGCACAAAUCUGCUUACAGACUCACAUUCUCUCUCUCUCUAUCAAACUCGCCCACUUUCUCUCAUCUUCAACAAUGUGAGAUUCUUGCUUCCAAUCCAACAAAUUGGGCAUGAGUCUAAGGCUCAUGUACCAUUGCCGCACUUUCCCUUCUCUUCCACCAUCGUCGGCCACCGUCUUGAGUUUAAAAAGGACUUUUGAAAGAAAUGGAGAUGUCUUGCCAUGUGAUAGUUGAAUAGGUUAACUUUUUUGCUAUAGUAUCAGUUCUGGAAAAGAUAGAUUCAGAUUUGCAAAGAUAUGCCUCGAGGGAGAGGUCAAGAUAGUGCAGGUCGUGUAAGCAAAUCUUCAGUUAGGGGUAAAUGUGCUGCUCGUGAAAACAUGCAUACUGUUUCUAUUCCCACAACUAGUCCUCAACAAGGUGGCACCAGUUCCUACGGUAGAUCAGAUUACAUCAACCAAGUUCAAACAUCAUCCCAUGGUAGUACCCCACCUAUUAAUUUGGAACCAUCUCCAAUUAUACCUAAUCAGAGCAACACAAUAGGCGAGGGUACAUCUUCUCAAAGCAACCUUAUAGGCGAAGUUGAAUGUAGCAGUACCCGUGGGCAGCGAACGCUUCUUACUAUUUUUCCCACAAGGUUAGAACCUUCAAGAGAAUGCUCGAGUGUAUAACUAAUUCUUUCAAGCAUGAACUUGUUCCUAAUGGAAUCAACUGGAAAAGCGUCUCGGUUGAGACAAAAAGAUUUUAUUUUGGAGAAUUCAAGAAGGUAUUCUACUAGAUUCUUCAAUUGAUAUUGUUGUGUGGAACCAAUGGGGGCAUAUGGAAGCAAAAAGAUACAGUGAUUUCAUUAGCAAACUAAAACAAAUGAGAUGCAACGGAAAUCUAUUCCAAAUAAUGUGUGAAAAAGUUGGAUGAGACUUUGGAAAGAUCCUAAGUGUGUGGAAAAAUCAGAAAUAAAUGCAAAAUACCAUUCUGGUGGUAGAAGCGGAGUCACCAUUAGGACUCACAUGGGUGGAUCUAUCAGUGUUGGGGAGCAUCGCAAGAGACUUGCUGUUAAAAAGGGUCGAGAUCCAACACCAAGUGAGAUACAUUUACACGUCCAUACACAUGGUAAUGAUAAAAAAUCUUUUGUUGGUGAGAAAUUCCGAAUCGUACAUGAAAUAUUACAGCAACAAAUACAUAGUCAAUUUGAUAUUGAUCAGUGUAAAGCAUAUUAUGAAGCUGCGGGAUGAGAAAAGAAAAAAAGAGUAUAUGGUCUUGGAUCUCAAGCAAAAUGCUACUACAGGCCGAAUUUUCGUGACUCUUUUGGAUCUGAUGCAACACCUUCAAAUGCUCAAUCAACACUGAUAGGGAAUCUGGAUGAGUUAGUGACACAAUUGAUUUCUGUACUGACAGAUCAUAUAGUUCCUGUAAUGAUUGAGCGGGUACGCGAAUUAGUUUCUUUACCCUCACAUCAGCCAAAUAUUGAUCUUACCAACCACCCAUCAGAUGUGGCACCUACAGUUCCUACUUCUUCUAUUGCUGCUAACAUUGAUGAGGUUCAUGCAUUGGGUUCUGAUGAUGACCGUGACUCUCCAGCCUCGCAUAGUUAGCCUAUUUUGUUUAGACUUUAUUGUCGAUGCUUGUGGAUGUUUUGUACUUAACGAUACAGUUAUAUGUAUUAUGCUAUAUAUU